CUCAGUGGGUCAGGUUGGUUCGAAAGAACCCAUGGUGGAAAGCACGCUACCUACUCACAUCUGGUAGCGAGAUAAGCCUCAGUUUGGACAUACUUCUGUUGCUAAUCAUAGAGUUAUUAAGGUCAGUAAAGACCACUAAGAUCAUCAAGCCCAACCGUCAGUCCCUCCCCACCAUGCCCACUAACUGUGUCCCUCUGUGCCACAUCUCCACCUUCCUUGGACACCUCCAGGGACGCUGCCCCGCGGCCUCCCUGGAACGACAUGUCAUCGUCACACAUUCAGCUUUUUCUCAACUAAACAAGAAGACCGAGUUGAUUCAGCGUUUAACGAGCGAAGUGAUGAGCUUGGCUGCUUCUAGAAAGUUGCAGAGAAGAGAUGUGCCUGAGAACGAGGGCAUGAAAUAAAAACGACUUUUCAAGAGAGAUGGAAAGAUGACUGUGAUACAGUAGUCCUGCAGGCACGCUCCUGUGCUUUAAAUGCAAGUGAAAACAAAAGAGCUCCAGUUAAAGACGGGCUGUUCAAAGUGAAAGCCCCAAUCCAGUAGUUGGAAGAUAAGCUGCUUUCUUCAGCCUGCGUGCAGAUAGUUGAUUAAAGAAACAGAUGUAGAAUUGUGUAUGCAUAACCAGAAUUAAUUACUUUCUUCUUUUACUGCGGUGAACUCUUGUGUUCAAGAGCUGCAGUUUGUCUUCGUCUCUGCAUGAAAGGGGUUUAUUCCACAGCUUAUCAAGCAUGGGCAGCUUAAUUUUUAACUACCAUGUGAAGCUAUUUAUUGCAUGGCAAGGUAGGAAAUCACUGGAAGUGAACUGGGGACACUGGAAGGGAGAGAGCAAGGAAAAGGGUUAAGUGCAAAACAUUUGAAUGUGGCUGUUCCCAGCGCAAUCAGAUCCUGAAAUUUGUGUGCAUCUUGUGCUGCCCUGUACGUGGAUGGAAGUAACCUUGGAGCUCAUCUGCGUGCACUGCAUCGUGCAGGUGAGAGCAGCAGCGUGAUGUGAAGCCUGCCUUGCACAGCUCUGCCUGCUCUGGGGCGUUUGCCACAUGCCACCCCUGGCUGGAAUGCAGGGAAGAAAAAAGGGAGCUGCUCUGAGAGAACUGGGAUCUCUGCUUUGUCCUUUGUCCCGAAGGACGGAGGGGCUGUAGCAUGCUCUUGGAAAGGAGGAAGCAGAAUUAGGCUGAAACUAGCACUGCAGAUCACAGGGAGCUAGAAGUGGCCCGUGAAAGCACUGAGACCUAAUUUGGAAAAAAGAAAAGAUGAAGAAUUGGUGUCUACAGUUUGUUCUGCUGGGCAGUAGCCCAGUAGUGGUCAUGCUUCCCUUCACCAUGGUACUUACGUAUUAAUUUUGAUUUAUGUGACAUUUGCCUGUCAGCCUUAAAGGAAUAAAGGCGCUUUAAAUUAC